ACUGAACUUCGCUCCAAAUCGGUACAAAACCAUUGUAUGUGUCUAAAGUUUCCAAUUAUUCAGGACCCACCUACAUCAGUGGCUGCACCCGACUUCAGUAUCAGCUCUUUUUUUUAUAUCAGUUUUAAGUUCAAUUGAUGAUGAAAAUCGUAAAAAUCAUUUUUCGUUAGCAACGAUUUAUUGUUACGUACAGAUAUAAAUUAAAUUACUCUAUAAUAAUAUAUCCUACCUUCCCGACAACUCACAUAUACAACAGCGGCACUCUUAUUAUAGCUGUAUUAAAUCCUUUUUUU